rnacentral:rRNA from 1 species
AUAGAGACUCAGAGCUGCAUAUCAAUAAGCGGAGGAAAAGAAACUAACUAGGAUUCCCUUAGUAACGGCGAGUGAAGCGGGAAGAGCUCAAAUUUGAAAUCUUCAAGGUUCUCCCUUGACGAAUUGUAGUUUAAAGAAGUGUUUUCUGUUAGAGAGUUUGGUAAAAGUUCUUUGGAAUAGGACAUCAUAGAGGGUGAGAAUCCCGUAUUUGACCAUUAUUUUCCAGCUGUGUGAUACACUUUCAAAGAGUCGGAUUGUUUGGGAAUGCAGUCCAAAAUGGGUGGUAAAUUUCAUCUAAAGCUAAAUAUUGGCGAGAGACCGAUAGCGAACAAGUACCGUGAGGGAAAGAUGAAAGGAACUUUGAAAAGGAGAGUUAAACAGUACGUGAAAUUGUCAAAAGGGAAGCGUUUGACACCAGUGUUGUUUUUCCGAAAAUCAAUUACGAAUGUUCUGAUUUUAAGGAUUUCAUGACCUUCAUCGCUUGCUUCUUAUCUUUACGAUACUUUCGUAAUGCACUUUUCGGUUAACAAGUCAACAUCAAUUUCUUUUGUUGUAAAAGGGUAAUGAGGAAGGUGGCUUUACUUUCGGAGUAAAGUGUUUAUAGCCUUUUACCUCUGCAAUCGGAGAGAUUGAGGUCUGCAGCGUAGAUCCUUCGGGGUUAGAUACGUUUGUGCUAAGUUAUAGCUUUUCAUAGACAACUUGUUGACUAUGUUUAGUCUUGUAGCUUACUCGCAUGACGCUAUUUUACCUACGCUUAGGAUGUUGAUAGUCACAGCGUGUAC